ACAUCUGCAUCCUUUUGCAAUGAAUCAGAGUCAUGCUGCAGAUUUUGUCUGGCAUACUGGGUCUCUGGAGGAUAGAAAAUAAUUUGGUCGCAGCAGUGGGAGGUGUGUGUGCGUGGAGAAGGGAGUUGCUUUCCAACAGCCUGCUGUGGCUUCUUCCCCAGCUGCUCAUCUGGCAAGAUCAUCAGGGCUGGGUGAUGACAGACCAACAGCAUGUGACGAGGGGCAUAGCCCCUCAUCUCGGGGUGAAGCUGGCAUCCUAAUGCAGAUAACAAGCCUCCCUGACACAGGGAACAGAAGAGCAGCAUCAUUUUCUAAGCAUCAUAGAGCUCUGGGACAUCGAUCUACUUGUACUGAGACCAUUGUUGCUUUUGAAGCAGUUCUACUGGAGGCAAUAUUUCUGCCUUCGGGGCCUCCAAAAACUGAAGGAGGCAGCAAAAAGGUGGUGCUGCCAUCACUUGGUGGUGCACCAGCUGUGAUACAGGGCUGGGCUGGAGGAAACAGGGGAGACGAGAUUCAAGGGGUAGUUUUUCCCUUCAGGAGGCGAUGCAGGUGCAGCAGAGCGGUGAAACCCCAGGAGCGUGACGGAAAUCCAGAGCCUGGCUGUGGCUGUGCAAACCUGCUCUGUGUCCUCCCAGCCAGCACGGUUUGGGCUGGGGAACUGACCCCACCCCGCCAUCUCUGCCUGGGAUAAAGGGAGCUUGUUUCUGCUUUAGCUCACUGCAAUAUCUCCUGCUGGCAGACUUUCCAAUUAGGGAGCCAAGUGGGAGUCAGGAGAGACCCCAGGGUGGAUUUCACACUCGUUCUUUAUUUAUAUGUAAACCUGGACGUGGGGCUGAGCUGCUGAGCAAGUGAGAGAAGCAGUACUGAGGGAGGGGGAAGCCAGCCCAGGGAACAGAGGCCUUUGCAGCUCUCAUUUGAAGCGUGUGUGGGACAGGGCUGAGCAAGAGGGAAAGUCUGGCUUGCAUUUCCCACCUGUUUCAGCUGCUGGGGGGAUGCCAGGUUCAUGUUUUCUUCUCAGUCCCUACUUGUGCCUCCCAGCAUGGCACUCGAGCAUCGUUGGACACUAGGGACUGCCAGUUGUCUCCUGGCGACGUAGGUGAGCACCCUAAUGCACCCCAGUGUCCUUCUGGCCACACACAAAGGGGAACUGUAACCAGGUGGGUUCCUGGCUUUGGCCCAACAUUCUUCCUCUCCUGUCCUGGUUCCUGCCAGUGCCCCAGAGCCAAGCACCGUGUCCAUCUGUUGUAGCCAACCCAUGGUGCUUGAGCCGGAGGGCACACAGACCAGAGGUGCGACUGGGAGCAGCAGAUGCUGCACGUGGGGCUGUGACACCUUCCCUCCUGGCGCACCUCCAUCCUGUGCUCUCUUCUCUUUCCACUGGGUGGGACCGUUUCAAACUGCCAAAGCCAACUGGCCACCCUCUUUUUGUUAAAAUAUUUAACAAAAACAAUCAUAGUGAAGAUUAAAACCUGGGGGGAACAGCUCUUCCACAGGCAAGAAGGAGCACGGUGUUGCCCCUGUGGACAGCCGGUGUGCAAACACGCCUGCUCCAGGGAGCGAGUCGCCCUGCCAGCACAGCAGCUUUGCUUGGAGCUGUUCUGAUCACCAGGGCCUCUUGGCCAAGCUAGCACAAGGGCUGUUUUCCAGGGACUUUUGCUUGUCCUUAUGGCAUGGUCAUGGCUGCACAAACAGUCCCAUUGGCUCAGCUGCAGACCUUCCUCCCCCCUCUCCUUUCCUUUGUUUGUAAAAUGUGACUUUUCUCAAGAUAGCUUUUUUCAGAUGUCCAACCAGAUGAAAAUCCCAGGUGAUGCUCACCGAUGCUAUGAAAACUGCAGCAGUUUUGGGCUGGUAGUUGUAGAACAUGAUAGGUUUUAGUUAACUGGUUAGGUGACCGCAGCAAGGCAUCUCUCAGAUGAGAACCAGGAGGUGUGGGUGCAGUCCCUGGUUCCCAAACUCUCAUUUUACCCAUCAGGACUGUUCGAUACUUGGCCUCAUUAGCACAGGGGUAACAGGAUUUCUUAGCUUGGCAGGUGUGCUGAGAAGAUAAAUUCAGCAACAUUUGGAGGGUAUCACAAGGCUACAGCUUUACUCAGGCAGCUCUGCAGGCCACAGCACUUCUCACAGACGUAAGUGAACUGCAGCUACGGCUCAUGGACAGUCAGAGCAGGGAGGGAUGCUUGAGGGAUAGCUGAGAGAGAUCCAGAAAAAGGUGAGCAGCACAGGGAAGGUGAACGGAAUAGUUCAUUCUCUCUCCCAGUUGAGACACGGUGACGUGAAUCAAAGUCAAUAAAAGUCAUCUUCAAGCAGACAGAAGGAAGCAAUUUUUCGCACUGUGUAGUGGUGCUGUGGAACUCCCUGAGAAAGGACAUCAUAGCAGGUUGGCACAGGACACUGGGUAAGAAACUGACUGAAAAUACACACUCUGCAGAAUAUGGCUGCAGCUUAUGGGGUUGCAGGCAACAGGAGGUG